rnacentral:tRNA from 1 species
GAGAACAUAGCUCAGUAGUAGAGCACUUGCCUAGCAUGCAAGACUCCAGUGGGUUUGAUCUCC